rnacentral:rRNA from 1 species
UACGGAGGGGACUAGCGUUGUUCGGAAUUACUGGGCGUAAAGCGCACGUAGGCGGAUUUGUAAGUCAGGGGUGAAAUCCCGGGGCUCAACCCCGGAACUGCCUUUGAUACUGCGAAUCUCGAGUCCGGAAGAGGUGAGUGGAAUUCCUAGUGUAGAGGUGAAAUUCGUAGAUAUUCGGAAGAACACCAGUGGCGAAGGCGACUCGCUGGACAGGUAUUGACGCUGAGGUGCGAAAGCGUGGGGAGCAAACAGG